CGGAGGGCUGCAGGAAUGGGAGCUGUCAUUCUUCAGGGACCCUGGAGCCCUUUCACAGCCUGGCUGUCGAGCAGUGAGCCCGCUGCUGAGUCAAAAGCAGGUGCUGUUUCAUAACUGCAAACCCAGAACAACCAGCCUCAAUUAUGGACCAGUUUCAAGAGAGACAAAUAGGAUGCUGAGGUCUUGACAUUUUCAGGUGAGGGAAAAGAGAGAAGGUGGAGCAGGCAUACCCAUCUAAACUGCCACAGCCUGGAGGGGAUGCACAUCACCUCUGCUCACAUUUCAAAGAAUGAAGAGAACAGUAGCAUCUACAUUAUGUAAUGAAGUGUCCACAAGGAUUAAUACAUGUGAAGCCCUUAACUCAGAGCCUGGCAUACAGGAAGGAGAACGCACACCAUGGAGAAUCAUGAGGCAUUUCAGAAUUUGGACUUAAGUAUGAUUUUGGAGAGGGUUUUGCUCUGGAUUGGGUGUUGUCAGGAAGCAGGAGUAACUCUAUAAUUGGACAUCUCAAUAAAUCUUAUCUAAA